UGCUAUACAUGCAGUCGAGCGAACAGAUGAGAAGCUUGCUUCUCUGAUGUUAGCGGCGGACGGGUGAGUAACACGUGGGUAACCUACCUAUAAGACUGGGAUAACUCCGGGAAACCGGGGCUAAUACCGGAUAAUAUUUUGAACCGCAUGGUUCAAUAGUGAAAGACGGUUUCGGCUGUCACUUAUAGAUGGACCCGCGCCGUAUUAGCUAGUUGGUAAGGUAACGGCUUACCAAGGCGACGAUACGUAGCCGACCUGAGAGGGUGAUCGGCCACACUGGAACUGAGACACGGUCCAGACUCCUACGGGAGGCAGCAGUAGGGAAUCUUCCGCAAUGGGCGAAAGCCUGACGGAGCAACGCCGCGUGAGUGAUGAAGGUCUUCGGAUCGUAAAACUCUGUUGUUAGGGAAGAACAAAUUUGUUAGUAACUGAACAAGUCUUGACGGUACCUAACCAGAAAGCCACGGCUAACUACGUGCCAGCAGCCGCGGUAAUACGUAGGUGGCAAGCGUUAUCCGGAAUUAUUGGGCGUAAAGCGCGCGUAGGCGGUUUCUUAAGUCUGAUGUGAAAGCCCACGGCUCAACCGUGGAGGGUCAUUGGAAACUGGGAAACUUGAGUGCAGAAGAGGAGAGUGGAAUUCCAUGUGUAGCGGUGAAAUGCGCAGAGAUAUGGAGGAACACCAGUGGCGAAGGCGGCUCUCUGGUCUGUAACUGACGCUGAUGUGCGAAAGCGUGGGGAUCAAACAGGAUUAGAUACCCUGGUAGUCCACGCCGUAAACGAUGAGUGCUAAGUGUUAGGGGGUUUCCGCCCCUUAGUGCUGCAGCUAACGCAUUAAGCACUCCGCCUGGGGAGUACGACCGCAAGGUUGAAACUCAAAGGAAUUGACGGGGACCCGCACAAGCGGUGGAGCAUGUKGUUUAAUUCGAAGCAACGCGAAGAACCUUACCAAAUCUUGACAUCCUUUGACCGCUCUAGAGAUAGAGUCUUCCCCUUCGGGGGACAAAGUGACAGGUGGUGCAUGGUUGUCGUCAGCUCGUGUCGUGAGAUGUUGGGUUAAGUCCCGCAACGAGCGCAACCCUUAAGCUUAGUUGCCAUCAUUAAGUUGGGCACUCUAGGUUGACUGCCGGUGACAAACCGGAGGAAGGUGGGGAUGACGUCAAAUCAUCAUGCCCCUUAUGAUUUGGGCUACACACGUGCUACAAUGGAUAAUCAAAGGGCAGCGAAUCCGCGAGGCCAAGCAAAUCCCAUAAAAUUAUUCUCAGUUCGGAUUGUAGUCUGCAACUCGACUACAUGAAGCUGGAAUCGCUAGUAAUCGUAGAUCAGCAUGCUACGGUGAAUACGUUCCCGGGUCUUGUACACACCGCCCGUCACACCACGAGAGUUUGUAACACCCGAAGCCGGUGGAGUAACCUUUUAG
rnacentral:rRNA from 2 species